AUGGAAGCAGAAUUAAGAGCAUUAGACACAUCGGGUGGCGAAGAAGAAUGGCUUCGAGAUCUGUUGAUGGACUUGCCAGUGGUUGAGAAGCCGGUUCCGGCCGUCCUUAUGAACUGUGACAAUCAAACAGUUAUUGUCAAGGUGAAGAGUUCAAAGGACAACAUGAAGUCCAACAAACACAUAAGAAUGAGAUUGAAAGCUGUCAGAAAAUUGAGGAACUCCGGAGUGAUAGCAUUGGAUUAUAUUCAAACGGCUAAGAAUCUGGCAGAUCCCUUUACUAAAGGGCUAUCACGUGUUGUGAUAGAUAGCGCAUCAAGGGAGAUGGGUAUGAGACCCACAUGA
rnacentral:rRNA from 1 species